rnacentral:pre_miRNA from 1 species
CAUGCAUUGGUGGGGUUCCUCGGCCUGGCCUGUGGGGAUUGGGCCAAAACCAGCUCUCCGACAUCCCCUGAGGAUGGGAGAGGGAACAGGCCAGGCCGAGGGACCCCACCAGUGCAUG